UGGAUACAGUCAGGUAUAGGGGUGUAGAGAGUAGAGAUGGAUACAGUCAGGUAUAGGAGUGUAGAGAGUAGAGAUGGAUACAGUCAGGUAUAGGGGUGUAGAGAGUAGAGAUGGAUACAGUCAGGUAUAAGGGUAUAGAGAGUAGAGAUGGAUACAGUCAGGUAUAGGGGUGUAGAGAGUAGAGAUGGAUACAGUCAGGUAUAGGGGUGUAGAGAGUAGAAAUGGAUACAGUCAGGUAUAGGGGUGUACAGAGUAGAGAUAGACACAGUCAGGUAUAGGGGUGUAGAGAGUAGAGAUGGAUACAGUCAGGUAUAGGGGUGUAGAGAGUAGAGAUGGAUACAGUCAGGUAUAGGGGUGUAUAGAGUAGAGAUGGACACAGUCAGGUAUAGGGGUGUAGAGAGUAGAGAUGGAUACAGUCAGGUAUAGGGGUGUACAGAGUAGAGAUGGACACAGUCAGGUAUAGGAGUGUAGAGUAGAGAUGGAUACAGUCAGGUAUAGGGGUGUAGAGAGUAGAGAUGGAUACAGUCAGGUAUAGGGGUGUAGAGAGUAGAGAUGGAUACAGUUAGGUAUAGGGGUGUAGAGAGUAGAAAUGGAUACAGUCAGGUAUAGGAGUGUAGAGAGUAGAGAUGGAUACAGUCAGGUAUAGGGGUGUAGAGAGUAGAGAUGGAUACAGUCAGGUAUAGGGGUGUAGAGAGUAGAGAUGGAUACAGUCAGGUAUAGGGGUGUAGAGAGUAGAGAUGGAUACAGUUAGGUAUAGGGGUGUAGAGAGUAGAAAUGGAUACAGUCAGGUAUAGGAGUGUAGAGAGUAGAGAUGGAUACAGUCAGGUAUAGGGGUGUAGAGAGUAGAGAUGGAUACAGUCAGGUAUAGGGGUGUAGAGUAGAGAUGGAUACAGUCAGGUAUAGGGGUGUAGAGAGUAGAGAUGGAUACAGUCAGGUAUAGGGGUGUACAGAGUAGAGAUGGAUACAGUCAGGUAUAGGGGUGUACAGAGUAGAGAUGGAUACAGUCAGGUAUAGGGGUGUACAGAGUAGAGAUGGAUACAGUCAGGUAUAGGGGUGUACAGAGUAGAGAUGGAUACAGUCAGGUAUAGGGGUGUAGAGAGUAGAGAUGGAUACAGUCAGGUAUAG